rnacentral:rRNA from 1 species
GACGAGCGCUGGCGGCGUGCUUAACACAUGCAAGUCGAACGCUGAAGCUCAGCUUUUGUUGGGUGGAUGAGUGGCGAACGGGUGAGUAACACGUGAGUAACCUGCCCUCUUCUUUGGGAUAACGCCCGGAAACGGGUGCUAAUACUGGAUAUUCACUGAUCUUCGCAUGGGGGUUGGUGGAAAGGUUUGUUCUGGUGGGGGAUGGGCUCGCGGCCUAUCAGCUUGUUGGUGGGGUGAUGGCCUACCAAGGCUUUGACGGGUAGCCGGCCUGAGAGGGUGACCGGUCACAUUGGGACUGAGAUACGGCCCAGACUCCUACGGGAGGCAGCAGUGGGGAAUAUUGCACAAUGGGCGAAAGCCUGAUGCAGCGACGCCGCGUGAGGGAUGGAGGCCUUCGGGUUGUAAACCUCUUUCGCUCAUGGUCAAGCCGCGAUUUUGGUUGUGGUGAGGGUAGUGGGUAAAGAAGCGCCGGCUAACUACGUGCCAGCAGCCGCGGUAAUACGUAAGGCGCGAGCGUUGUCCGGAAUUAUUGGGCGUAAAGGGCUUGUAGGCGGCUGGUCGCGUCUGCCGUGAAAUUCUCUGGCUUAACUGGGGGCGUGCGGUGGGUACGGGCUGACUUGAGUGCGGUAGGGGAGACUGGAACUCCUGGUGUAGCGGUGGAAUGCGCAGAUAUCAGGAAGAACACCGGUGGCGAAGGCGGGUCUCUGGGCCGUUACUGACGCUGAGGAGCGAAAGCGUGGGGAGCGAACAGG